CGCCGUCAUACACCAGGAGAGACUUGAGAGCACAGCACCGGUCAGCGGCGAUGAGGAGGACGCGGUCGGCGACGGUUCGGCAAGCGCGGAGCUCAAGCUCGAGCAGGCCGGCUAGGCAUCCUGAGAAGGCAGCCGAGGAGGUGCCAUCUCCGAUGCCGUCGCAAGCGCGCAGCUGCAGCCACCGUAGGCUCACACAGCGCUGCCAUAGCCACCUGAGCCCGUGGUCGCCGGAGCGGAUGCCGCACAGCGACAGCCUCUCCAGAGGCAACGCCCCUACGGCGUCGCCCUCGCCGCCGGAGUCUUCAUCGGAGCUGGAACCGGCAGAGUCAACGGCAGCAACGGCGGAGUUGACAAAGGCAAAGGAUUUGAGGCAGGGCAAGCACGCGAGCCAACGGAACGACAGGGGGCUGACGGCGGUGAGGUGGAGCGAGGUGAGGCCGGAGAGGGUGACGGAGACGUCGCGCAGCGCAGCGGGCGAGACGGGCGAACCGACCGAGAACCGCAGCGCUGUGAGCCUGGUGGCCGACGGCGAGGCGGACACCGCGAGCAGGAGCGCGUCGGCGUCGUGAGCGGCGGCCGAGGACGCGGAGACGACGGCCAGCGCGGAUAGAUACGGGUAGCGCGAGAGCAGGUCAGCCAGAGGACCCGCAGCCGCGGAGGCCGAUGCUCCGGUGAAGGCCGGCGGCAGGCGGAGGGUGAGGCGGGACGUGGAGGCUCGGAGGAGCGCGACCCAGCGGCGGGAGACGAGGGAGACGGCCGGCCCGGCGGCGGGCGGGAGCAGGCGGAACACCUCCUGCAGCAGGUCGUCGCAGAGCGCGGCGUCCACGUCGCCGCAUGCCCCGCCUCCGCCGCCGGCGCGGCGGCCUCCGCCGCCGCGUCGGGGGCUUAUUGGCGCCGUAGCCAGGGGGGGAGGGCGCGGCCACGCCUCAGCUCAUCGGCACGGCGUGCCUAGGUAAAAUUUUCCCUCCAGGGGAAUUGGGCUGCUCGGCGGCCUCAGGUGGGGAUGGGGGUGGGGAAGGUGGGGAGGGG
rnacentral:rRNA from 1 species